rnacentral:rRNA from 1 species
AGUGAACGCUGGCGGUAGGCCUAACACAUGCAAGUCGAACGGCAGCACAGUAAGAGCUUGCUCUUACGGGUGGCGAGUGGCGGACGGGUGAGGAAUACAUCGGAAUCUACUUUUUCGUGGGGGAUAACGUAGGGAAACUUACGCUAAUACCGCAUACGACCUACGGGUAAAAGCAGGGGAUCUUCGGACCUUGCGCGAUUGAAUGAGCCGAUGUCGGAUUAGCUAGUUGGCGGGGUAAAGGCCCACCAAGGCGACGAUCCGUAGCUGGUCUGAGAGGAUGAUCAGCCACACUGGAACUGAGACACGGUCCAGACUCCUACAGGAGGCAGCAGUGGGGAAUAUUGGACAAUGGGCGCAAGCCUGAUCCAGCCAUACCGCGUGGGUGAAGAAGGCCUUCGGGUUGUAAAGCCCUUUUGUUGGGAAAGAAAAGCAGCAGGUUAAUACCCCGCUGUUCUGACGGUACCCAAAGAAUAAGCACCGGCUAACUUCGUG